UUGUAGGACAUCAGUACAACCUGGUUGAAGGGUGGACACCUGAGUGUUGGACUCCAGAAUUCUCCUCAGUCUGUUUUUUUCAGCAGGUGGUUGUGGUGGAGGGAUUGAGCUUAACAGUGAAAGGCUUUGGUUAAAAGUCUUUACAUGUGGUCCCGUCUUUUGACGUUGAGGGCUGAUAUCAGGCCACUGAAGAAGAUGAAAUCCAGUCCCAGAACUACAGCAUAGGCGAGUGCUUUAGGGGAAAGGACAGCGACAGCCAAAUACAGUGGACCGCAAGACCAAGAUUGGAGGUUCUCUUGUGGAAAGAGAUUUUUCCACAAACUCUCAUGGAUCAUGGUGUAGCUGGCCCCUGUGUCCAU